UACGUAGGGUGCAAGCGUUGUCCGGAAUUAUUGGGCGUAAAGAGCUCGUAGGCGGUUUGUCGCGUCUGCUGUGAAAACCCGAGGCUCAACCUCGGGCCUGCAGUGGGUACGGGGCAGACUAGAGUGCGGUAGGGGAGAUUGAAUUCCUGGUGUAGCGGUGGAAUGCGCAGAUAUCAGGAGGAACACCAAUGGCGAAGGCAGAUCUCUGGGGCCGUAAACUGACGCUGAGGAGCGAAAAGCGUGGGGGAGCAACAGG
rnacentral:rRNA from 1 species